AUCUGUCUCGCCUGGUUUAGCUAUGCGUGGCUGUAGAGUGUCGUGCCUUGUACACGGUGUCGUGCCUCGUACACGGUGCCGUGUCUUGCACACAGCUUGACGGUGCUGCGUCCUGAAGCUGGUGCAGCUGGUGGUAGUGCCUGACACUCCACUGGUUGUGUCAGUUGUUUCUGACAGUACAGAAAAAAAAAGUUUUCACAUCGAAGGCCAGAAACUGCCGGAGUUGAGUGUAACUACGAUAAUUAGUGAACCUUCACCACAAGGUUCUUACACUGCCCAUGGUUCCCUCUUGAUUAUGGAACCUCACAGAAUGUGACCCUGCGGAUCAGGUCACAGUGUUGUUUCUCAAUGUUGUUUCAACGCUGUGACUCCUGCUGCUUUAGCGCUUCCCCCGUGAUGAUGAUAAUCAAAAUAACGUUUUGAAACAGACUGAAAAUAAGAUGAUUGUGUUGCGUGUGCGCACUCAGCUCCGUGUGUUGCACGCAAGUGUGCUCAAGUUACGAGUCGAAAUGAAUGACACGUCAGUCUGGGAACUGCAGUGUUUUCUUGUUUGUUGUUGUUUAAAGGUCUUCCAUCAUUUUCUUUAAUGAAUGUUUUGCACACUACCGAUAAACCCAGUGAAAAAUAGGGGCACCGUGGGCAUAGUAAGAGAACAUUGUGUCAACAUCCGUGGCCCCAGACAGUUGAACAUCUUACCAGAAGACAAGUGUAGAAGUUUUUAAGUGGAAACUGGACAAGUAUCUCCAAGUGCCAGAUCAACCAGACUGUGAUGGAUAUGUGGGUCAGUGGCUUGGUUGACCAGGCAAACAUUAGACACACCUGGCCCAGGGCCAGCAACAAGCUGGUUGAUCAUUGGCAACCUAUCGAAGGUUGAAUGAGAGUGUUGUGGUGGCAAACAAUUUCUCAACCAUUUACGGUUGCUGUCUACUGACCACCUGUCGUAUGUUUCUCUCAACCAUCUGUCUGGCAACAUGAAGGAACGUUAGCUCAGUAAUGUUUCGCCCUGUGUACAGCCUUGUUAAGUUGAUGACUUGUACCCAACUUAAAAUAUGCUUAUGACAAGACUAAUACCUGGGGUGCUGUCGUUAAUUACUUCUCUCACAGCAGAAUAAAAGUCACAAUACGAUAACAAUAAUUCACAACUAAUCCACAAUACCUUGGCUGGAAUAAUUCAUAACUAACCCACAAUACCUUGGCUGGAACGUUUUAUAACUAACCCGCAAUACCAUGGCCAUAACAUUACACAACUAACCCACAAAAUCAUGCAUGGAACAAUUCACAACUAACCCACAAUACCAUCCCAUACCACGGGAUGGUAUUGCUAAUCUUCCUAUGGUGUAUAAUAUACCUAGUUGGUUGAAUCUUAUUAUAGCCAGCUGGCCCAAUGGCUAACGCGUCGGCCUGGAGUUUUGACUGACCACGGGUUCUAUCCCCACCCGUGGUAUGGUUUGCAAUCUUGUCAUUACGAUUUCGUGAGCCACAAUACCAUAGCUGGAACGUUUCACAACUAAUCCAUGCUAACUCAUGAUCAGGUCAGCUGGGUUUCACACUUCUCUAACAACUCAUUCUUGUGCCAAUAUUCAUUGUGGUUAAAUGUGGAAGUUAUAGGAGGUUGGAAACAAUGUAAGUCACCAGGAGGUGUAGACUUAGUGGAACUAAUGUUAGUGGGAGGGAGAUGAAUGGUCAGGCAUCUGCAGCAUCCUUCAAUCCUCCCUCCCUCCUUCCCUCCCUCUUUCUCCCACCUUUCCUUUCCUUAGAUAGUCUGGGGUGAAUGUCUAGACUUAGACCCAGACUUUUGGGAAGAGGAAGUUACUGACAUAUUAAAGUCUGGCUUUGAAGAAAUUUUUAUUUUACAUGGCUUGAAAUAUUUUAGAAUCUGGAUAAGUGUCAUGACAGCAUGGUGGGAACACCAGCAGUGUUGCUACACUGUUCUGUGUGAUAGUUAUAUUGUGGGAACACCAGCAGUGUUGCUACACUGUUCUGUGUGAUAGUUAUAUUGUGGGAACACCAGCAGUGUUGCUACACUGUUCUGUAUUAUAGUUAUAUUGUGGGAACACCAGCAGUGUUGCUACACUGUUCUGUAUUAUAGGUAUAUUGUGGGAACACCAGCAGUGUUGCUACACUGUUCUGUAUUAUAGGUAUAUUGUGGGAACACCAGCAGUGUUGCUACACUGUUCUGUAUGAUAGUUAUAUUGUGGGAACACCAGCAGUGUUGCUACACUAUUCUGUAUUAUAGUUAUAUUGUUGGAACACCAGCAGUGUUGCUACACUGUUCUGUAUGAUAUAUUGUGGGAACACCAGCAGUGUUGCUACACUGUUCUGUGUGAUAGUUAUAUUGUGGCGACACCAGCAGUGUUGCUACACUGUUCUGUAUGAUAUAUUGUGGGAACAGCAGUGUUGCUACACUGUUCUGUAUGAUAGUUAUAUUGUGUUAACACCAGCAGUGUUGCUACACUGUUCUGUGUAAUAGUUAUAUUGUGGGAACACCAGCAGUGUUGCUACACUGUUCUGUGUGAUAGUUAUAUUGUGGGAACACCAGCAGUGUUGCUACACUGUUCUGUGUGAUAGUUAUAUUGUGGGAACAGCAGUGUUGCUACACUGUUCUGUAUGAUAGUUAUAUUGUGGGAACAUCAGCAGUGUUGCUACACUGUUCUGUGUAAUAGCUAUAUUGUGGGAACACCAGCAGUGUUGCUACACUGUUCUGUAUGAUAGUUAUAUUGUGGGAACAGCAGUGUUGCUACACUGUUCUGUAUGAUAGUUAUAUUGUGGGAACACCAGCAGUGUUGCUACACUGUUCUGUGUGAUAGUUAUAUUGUGGGAACACCAGCAGUGUUGCUACACUGUUCUGUGUGAUAGUUAUAUUGUGGGAACACCAGCAGUGUUGCUACACUAUUCUAUGAUAGUUACAUUGUGGGAACACCAGCAGUGUUGCUACACUAUUAUAUGUGAUAGUUACAUUGUGGGAACACCAGCAGUGUUGCUACACUAUUAUAUGUGAUAGUUACAUUGUGGGAACACCAGCAGUGUUGCUACACUAUUAUAUGUGAUAGUUACAUUGUGGGAACACCAGCAGUGUUGCUACACUAUUAUAUGUGAUAGUUACAUUGUGGGAACACCAGCAGUGUUGCUACACUAUUAUAUGUGAUAGUUACAUUGUGGGAACACCAGCAGUGUUGCUACACUAUUAUAUGUGAUAGUUACAUUGUGGGAACACCAGCGGUGUUGCUACACUGUCUUGAAGUGUACUGGAAUAAGAUAGAGCAAAGUCUUUUAUCUUGGUAGUAUAAUCGGUCUUAGGUAACCAGACAGAUCAUAAUAUUAAUGAUGCGUGUAUACUCAGUUUUAUCAGUUUUAUUGGGGAGACGUUUCUCUCACCGUGGACUUGAUUGAUCAUCCCUAUUGUACAAAACCUCUUAGUAGAUGCCCCAUUAUCAGAAAUGUGAUGAUAUAGUGAUGUAUUAUAAGUGACCUGUACCGUGGAUAUUAUGUUAUCGUAAGUGUGAUGUUUCAGUGAUGUGUUAUGCGUUAUGUACUGGUUGUAAUGUGAAUGUGCGCGCGCAUCAGGUGGUGGUGGUGGUGAGUGGUGCGCAGUGUGGCACCCACGGCGCAGUCACCCUGCAGGAGGCCACGUAGCGAGUGUGGGCGGCGCAGUAUGGCAACCUUCCCUCCCCCGGUAGGAGUGAGAUAUGGGAAACUACGAUGGUGCCGCCACUCACUGUGGCUCUGGCACUCUCCCUAGCCUGCUGCAGGCAGGCACUAGACACGUGUUUUGAGUAGGCACUGGGCCAGGGAGGGAGUUUCCAGACACAACCCCAACUUGUAUACAACGUACCGUCUGCUCUACAGAACGUGACGGUGGCUCGAGCCUCUACCUCUGAGUGUAUGACUCAUAAGGGCUUAAAAGCCUCAUAUACGUAGUAAUAUUCCCCCUCUUUUGCAGCGUCAUGUUUAUUAAUCGCCUUAACACGCGAACACAUCCAGCAAAUUCAACACUAUCUAUCAGAGCUUCUGGAUAUCGUCUCAGAGACUUGUCUGAUAUUCCCUUGGUAAUAAUUCAAGCACUACCCACUUGUAAAGAAGAUUCGUAGAGAAGUGAAUAUCCGACAAGUAUCAAGAAGCGAAAGAAGAGUUGUGAAGUGAAUAUCUUAUGAGUAUUAGCCACCUAAAGAAGAGGAAUAAUACUUGUGUAUUCUCCUCCUUGUCUCCCGUCAUUUCUCACUGCUCGGAGUCACGUUCCCAGGGCAGCCAAGAAAAGGUGUGUGAGUGACUAGUGAAGGAAUCCCAGUACACGUGACACAUAAUCAAGAUUAUCCAUUGAGGUAUCCUAACAAUAGUUCCGUUCUCUCCUAGAGUCCUUCUAGGAGAGACAAGGAGCUACACUUGCAGUUUGGUCCUCUUCUAGAGGCUUGUAAGAGAGAGAGAGAGCUUGCUACACCCAUAGUUACAUUCUAUACUAGAAUCCUUUAAAGAAAGACGGAGCUUGCCAGACCUUCCUCUCCAAGAGUCCUUGAGGGACAGAGAGCUUGCUACACUGACAGUACCGUCCUCUACAAGAGUCCUUGAAGGACAGAGAGCUUGCUACACUGACAGUACCGUCCUCUACAAGAAUCCUGCUAGGAGAGACAGAACUUACCAUAGGAAUCUUCCACCUCUCUACUGUUCUUGUAUAUAUGGCGUGUAACUAGAAUUAAGAAAAAUGUAAACUCCACACCCAGUUUACCAUGAAAUUCAUGGUUAAGUGUGCGAGUGCCAGGAAGGAAAACCUAACUUUUCAGAAGUGUCGUGCUUUGUCACCAGCAAUAACAGUUGAGAAAUUUGUGUAGGUUAACGUCACAGGUGGCUACCACCCGUGGCUGGUUUCUCUACCUACCUGGAGUCUACCUCGAGGGUAUUCCGGGGAUCAACGCCCCCGCGGACCGGUCCAUGACCAGGCCUCCCCGUGAAUCAGGGCCUGAUCUCGCCCUGAAAAAAAAAAAUAUAAAAGUAGGUGAGAAAGUUUGUCAAACAUGGUGAACUAUAUCGACUAGUUGCGAGACUUAUCAGUGAUAGUCUUAAGAGCAAAUAUCCUUGAUUGAUCAACCAGGCUGUUGCUGUGUAGAAAAGUAAGUGCUCAUUUAAAUUCGGUGAAUUUAACUCUUAUGUUCGCAUGUGAGGUGUAGUGAAAUAUGUAUAAUGUGCAAUCAAGUUAAAACAAAACAAACCACUGGGAAAUGAGUGAAUAUCACUGGCGUCAAAACAUGAAUUACCCUGGAUACUGAUAACACAAGAUGUCAGUCUUCAGCAUGGAGCAAGAGGGAAGUGACUUCCCUGUCAUCACCCGGAGACGUCGGCUUUUCUCGCUUGAGUAUGGGUCUGGCGGGCUCGGCACUCCUCUGUCACCCACUGUACGUCGGUCAGUGGAUGAGGCGUCACUAUGGCGGAGGCGUACAGGUGCCUACGCUGUGCCUGGGGCCUACAGGCAGACCUCUACGGAGGAGGU